CAUAACUUGCUCAGGGUGUUUUCAGAUCACAUGUGACCCCUGAUCUCACACAGACAACGCAAGGCUAGCUGAUAAGUCAGUUGCUCAGGUGACAGUCACACUGCUGCACUAAAUGGCCUCUGGUCUUUCGUUUCUCACUGAACAAAGACCAGAUUCACCUGACUCGUACUUCUGCAUUUCAUUUUGAAAUACUUGGAUUAAAAAGUGAAAAAAAAGUUCUGCCUUUGGGAGCCCACAUCGCAGGUACCGUCGAGCAGUGGUCGAAAAAGUUUCUCCAUACCAAGAUUGGCCUUAGGGGCUUAGGAGACAUUCAGAAGCCAAAAGAGAUUCCAAAUAGCAGG